rnacentral:misc_RNA from 1 species
UCCGAUUUGUCACCGGCAGUCUCCCUAGAGUCCCCGGCAUUAUCCGCUGGCAACUAGGGACAGGGGUUGCGCUCGUUGCGGGACUUAACCCAACAUCUCACGACACGAGCUGACGACAACCAUGCACCACCUGUGUAGAGCCCCGAAGGACACCGUAUCUCUACGGCUUUUCUCUACAUGUCAAGCCCAGGUAAGGUUCUUCGCGUUGCUUCGAAUUAAACCACAUGCACCACCGCUUGUGCGGGCCCCCGUCAAUUCCUUUGAGUUUCAGCCUUGCGGCCGUACUCCCCAGGCGGAGUGCUUAUCGGGUUACCUUCGGCACUGAGGGAAGUAACGCCCCCAACACCUAGCACUCAUCGUUUACGGCGUGGACUAC